rnacentral:lncRNA from 1 species
CUCAUCUUCAAUUACAAUGUGGUUCCUACAAAGUAAAGGGCUGUUGUCCUCUCUUCAGACCUGUGCUGCUUCUGCGCACUAGCCCUGUAGACCAUCAAGGCCUAAAAAUAGCUGCUAGAUUCAAUGAGACAUGAAGCUGACAGAAAUGGCAUCAAGCUAAUUGGCAACAAACUCUAUGAAACCUACUCAGGAAAUCAUAUUUUUAAGCUGAACACCAAGUGGAUUCUUGUUUGAAUAGUCCAUUUCUAAGAAGAUGUGGUUCGAACAUACAGAGCUACAUAAUAUGAGUAAAAUAGGACCUAACAGUAGUGUUCUCCAGCAUUGCUCUGCCUUUCCUUUUCUGGAUGUAACAACAUUACUAAGAAAGGAAGAAAAAGCAAAAAUCUGCUCUCGGGGAGAUUCCAGAAUGUUGGAAAGCCCCAAAUGGAAGUCUCUGCUUUGGUUACAGGACAUAAGGUUUAAUAAAUAAAAAGAUGCUCAUCUGGGAUGCUGCACCAAUUAUCAUGUACUAAAUAAGGUUACCUACUUCACUCUCCAGGUAGAAAUGUCUAUCAUAAGCAUGUGCCACAGAAGGUCUCUCAAGUAUCAUUAUUGGCUGUGUUGAAUUUUGUUUUUAGUUCUCUUUUAUAAGGUCUGUAGUCUUACUUUCAGUGAGGAAGUGUUUUCUCAGGUUCUCAAGAAAGUAACAAAAUGCCAGCAUUGUCAAGGUCACCAUUGCCACUGAAUUAUCUUACUGUCUGAUUAUUCCAUCUUCCUCUGCAUCAUAUUAGCCUGAUGACUACAUUCUAAUUAUUUAAAGCGUUAUGUAAAUCAAAGCAGUAAAUGUAAUUUCUAGUCUUACUAGAUAUCAUGUACAUUAGGUCGAAUAACUCUAGAAAUGUCGUCAUAAUCAUGUCAUGCCUAAUGAUGACCUACUCAGCCCCUGCCAACAUCAUUCAAUUACUCAUUUCAGUAUUGAUUUUUCUCAUGCCUCUCUUCGUGGCAUUUAAACAGCCCUCACAUCUCCCCUUUUACUGAGGUGUAAUGUUGUAUAAUGACAGAGAUGCUUUGCUUCCCAGAUUCAUAAUGUUACACUCUGUUUCAAAUCCUUUUGGAGACAAAUUGGGGAAUCAAUAUAUAAAUAAUGACACACUUAUUUUUAAUUAAAAUCACUGCUUUCACAGAAAUGGUAUAUUAAAAUUAUUUUUGCUAAAAAAAUUUUAAAUACCUAUGUACGAUAAAAAGACUGCCAAUCCUUGGGAUCAAGAAUAUAAUUUGCCCCAAAUAACUUUUCUGUAAAAGUAGAAUUCUUAAUGGAAAAUAGAUUAAUACAUAUAAUUUCAAGAUCUAACCUUAAAAAUGGAAAUAAUGUGUCCAUUUUUAAAAAUAAAUCAUAUUUACAUA